CCCUUAGAUGUCCGGGGCCGCACGCGCGCUACACUGAAGGAAUCAGCGUGGCUCUGUCCCUGGUCCGAAAGGAUUGGGAAACCCGUUGAAUCUCCUUCGUGAUAGGGAUUGGGGCUUGGAACUGUUCCCCAUGAACGAGGAAUUCCCAGUAAGCGCGAGUCAUAAGCUCGCGUUGAUUACGUCCCUGCCCUUUGUACACACCGCCCGUCGCACCUACCGAUCGAAGGUAAUGAUGAGCCCUCAGGAUUGUGGCCUCGUCGCGUCAGCGUCUUGGCUGCGAGAAUCUGUGCAAAUCCCUACCUUUAGAGGAAGGUGAAGUCGUAACA
rnacentral:rRNA from 1 species